GUAAAAAAUUUAUUAAGUUUUCAACAAAAUUACAUGAUUUAGAUCUACAAAUUCAGAUAUCUAAGUAACAAACUAAACAUUUAAAACAAAACUUAAGCCUGAGAACUUGCAUUGCAUAAUGAUUAGUAAAAAAAAUGCCAACAAAUAAACAAAAAGCUGUUACCAUGGUUAUAGAUUAAAGAUGACAACCAGAUAAUGAAAUAUACUGGCAAAAUGCAAAUAACUUUUUUUUAACAAUAUACAAUAUUAUACUUACAAUCCAUUUCAUGCUUAAUAUAAUAUAUUUUGUACUUGUACAAACUUAAAAGGGGAAAUAUAUAACUAAAUAUUAAUUAUUAUAAAUAGUAUUACAUGUUUUAACUUGAUGGGGCUUGCCAACUGAUACUGUUUAUCAUCAAAAAUUAUAAUGUAAGCGUCUCACUUCAUGCAUGAAUGAUUACAGCUUAUGUGAUUUGAUUGGAAAAUAACUACAUGGAAAAUGAUUUGGUGGCAUAGUGCAGCAUUGUCAAAAAAUAAUGGUGAACUGUAAAUUCAUUGAUUAAUGAGAAAAUGGGACAGUCUUAGGUUCUCCAUAAUAAUUUCAGUAGUGAUUUUCCUUGAUACAUGUAAAAUGUUUGCUUUCACAUUACACAUAUUUCACAUUUUUGUGUUUGUCAAGAAUUCACAUGGGUACCACCUUAAUGCUAGUUUAUGAUUUUACAGUAUAUAACUAUAUCUUACAACAGAAAAUGUAGACAAAAUAUUUUCCAUAUGAGUUUCAUCAAAAUUGAAACUUUUCAAUAACAAAUUAGUUUUGUACUAAUAAAAUUGAGAAUGGAAAUUGGGAAUAUGUCAGAGACAACAACCCGACCAUAGAAAAAACAAGACUAGUUAGAUUUGGGACCAUCACAGAAUAGACCACUCUGAUACUUGUGUCUGUUCUGGUUUUCUCCCUCCUUUUUUUUUUUUUUGAAAUUUUCACUUGUACCUGUAUAGAGAAUUACACAUUUUUCUCUACUUUUAAAUUUAUAUAUAGAAGUUAAAUAUGUGCAAGACAAAAUCUCAAAAAAGAAAAUUCACACUCAAUCUUGUGGAAUAAUUCUCUUUAUCAUGUAUGAAAGUUGCAUUUAUUUAUCAGGUAUUACGAUCAACUGCUGCAGAUUCACAAAUAUAAAUACACAGCUUAACACAACAGGGAGAUAACUCUAUAAAAUUUACCAGAAUUAGUUUUAAAUGUGGAAAGCAGUUGAAGUUGGAUGAAAACUUCAAUCAAUUAUAAUGGUUAAAAGUUGGCCAAUGAAAAUUCUGGUCAUUAAUUCAAAGUAUAGAUUUAAAGCAAAACUUUGAAGUUUGAUGUCUAUAACAGGAAGUUUAAUGACCGUGUGAGAAGACACAGGGUUGGGAGAGAAGUAAUGAGAGUGGUGUUGGGGAAACCUUUACUCUAACAAUAGACUAUGGUGAUCCCUUUGGGUUUUAUGAAAAAAAAAGAGAUUUUAACCUCAUAAACAACCUUGAUGAAUAUAAUAAUGGCACGUAAUAUAUCUAAACUAGGUUUUAUAUCAAAUUAUAUAUCUGACCAAUCUCUGGGAUUUUGUGAACACAUUGAUGUAUUUCUAGCUUUGCCAAGAAAAACACUUAUUUUUUAUGAAAAAUUUCUUCAACAAAAAUACAUAUCUUCAAAAAGUGAAUUUAGCAUGAAAAUAAUGAAUGAAAAAUGACUUUGUAGUUGAGACACAUUAAUAGGAAGGCUAUAAAAUACAUUGUGGCAAUUCACUGGCAAAAUUAAGUUAUGUCAAUUCAGCCAACCAUUUUUAAUUAAUUUAUUCUAACCCAGGGACCUUGUUGCAUAUUUUUCGUAAAAUAUAUGCAAUAAAAUUAAAACAUACAUAUGAAUAAAUCUUUGCAUGGAAAAAUAAUAAAGCAUUGCAUUGGUAUUACAUAUAUAUAUAUAUAUAGUUAAUUAAAUUGAAAUCACAGAUAAAGCAAGUUCAUAAAACAAUCCUAGUCACAAAUACUGUGGACUCUUGUUAAUAGAUCGAUUUCCAUUGACAAAAUUUGAGCAAGAUGUAACUUCCCUUUAGUAACCAAUUUGGAGCUCUAUAUAUACAAUUUCAUUUUUACACAAAAUUUAACUUGAUAUCUUGACAGCUAGAUAUUAGAAAAAGUUGCUUGUUUUCUGACAAAUUUGAAUUUCCUGAAGCUUUGUUUGUUUUUCACUACGAUCUAGUAAGGAUCUCUUAUCAGACCAGGCUGUAUAACAUGUUUCAUUUGGUUAGUCAAAUAAAAGUCAACUAUUAAAAUGGGGGCCAUGGGAAUUAACUCACUCAAAUUAUGUCAUAUUGAAACCUUUCUAUACCCUAACUCCAUCCUCAUUCAAAAGUAGUGCAUCAAUUAAGAUAAGUUUCCUUGGCCCAUCAGUAUGGUUACUUAUAAUUAUAACUAGAUAUUAUAAAGCAAUUAGUUUCUAACUAUUGUACAUGUGUAUUACUGUGUAAUGCAUAGACUAUAUGGACAAUAUAUAACAUAUUAUUUUCUUUAUACAUUAUUCUUGAUAACACAGUCAUUAUAUUGCAAGUAAAACCCCAUUUAUCAUACAUGAGGUAUUGCAUUUUAUUUAUUAAUAUAAUUUCAGUAUCUAUACAUACAAAUGUUGUGAUUUAAUUUGUUAUUUAAUCUAAAAACUUUUGAUAUACACAUCAGAUUAUAAUAAAAGGUACAUUGAAAUAAUAAAUUUGUCUGCUAUAAAUAAGGCUGAAUAAGCAAUAUUAUAUUGAUUUCUUUUAAAUUCACAAAUUAUUGUGUAAGCAACACAUUUAUUUUUUUUUUUUUUUUUUUUAAUUCUAGGUUCUUGUUUUGAAAAUUAUUCAUUUAUUUGAUCAUUUUACAUUUAAUUAAAAUGGUGAUAAACUUCAUUUAAUAAAUUUUAAAAAUAAAAUUCAAAUUGGCAUUGAUUCAAUACAUUUCGGAUUGAGCUUAAUUUCUAGACAUGGCAUGUAAAUACAUAAUUUUGUUGUUACAUAAAUGAGACAGAAUCCCUAAACAAAACAAUAAAUUCCCCAAAAAAUAUAAACAGACAAGUGCUUGGUAAUAUUACAUUUUUUAUAAAUCAUUUUAACCAAUUAGAAUCAGUAUACCCUGUUUCUAAACUCAUGAUCAGUCCCUUUUGACUUUGAAUAGCAAAAAAAAAACAUUUAAAAAAAAAUAUAUAAAUGAAAGUGUGUUUUAAUCUUCCAAAAAUUAACUAAUGCUUAGAAUUGCAAUUCAAUAGAUUUUGAAAACAAUAUUAGAAGCCAUUUUUUUGUCUGUGUGCAUUACUAAAUGCUGCAAAAACUUUUGAUUAGGCCAUACAAAAUAAUUCUUAAAUUCACAUCAACUUUCAUAAAAAAUUUGCAAACAGGUAAAAUGUCAUUAUAUUUUCCUGGUAUAAUCAAUUUCCCACUUGAAAAAUACAUAUUUCUUUUACUUUCUAAACAAAUCACUGCAAAAAAUAAAUACAGUGAAAAUCAGAGAUGUGAAUCUAGGAAAUUAUUUUCUCUGGCUUCAAAGAAUUCACCUUCAUUUACACAGGACUAGUAGAUUACAAUACUUAUUUUUUAGACUUAAAAAAUCAACUAAAUCCCCUAAUGCAGUUACUCUAGGAAGCCUGAGGAGUGAGGGGAAUAUGAGGUAGAAAAUGCAAGCAAAUAAUAGAGGCUAAUAAAACAUACUCUUUUUUCAAAAGGAGGUCGGUCAGGUCAUAAAAAAGAUAACAUUUGUUUGCCAUAAACCUACCUAACCUACCAGAAAAUAUUUACCUACUCAAAAUCUUUUCUUGUCUGGAUGUUAAAAAGUUGGGGUUGUUUUUAAUCAGUUGGCAUGAACACUAAAAACAGCUGACAGUUCAAUUUCUUCUUGCCGAAAAAUCCCAAGAAAAUGCCUACCUACCUACCCACAGUCUAAAUCUUUAGGUAGGGUUUGGGCCAACCAAAAUAUUUUAAGUGUGGCUUCAUAUGAGGAAACCAGGAAGAAAAGCAAAUUCUAUUAGGUCAUUUUAUUCCCCCCCCCCUUGAAAUUACUAGCAGUUACUAUUAUCUUUUGCUUGCCAAACUUUUGGCACUGACUUUCUUGCAAAUGAAAUGUUACAUGAAUAUUCAUGAACGGAAAAAAAAACAGUGAUGACAGUUAUACUAUUUUCAUGCAAAAUGUAUUAAAACUACAAAUUUGCUUUCAGCAUAAACAGAUCAACAUCAAAAUACAUGUAUUCAAAAAUGGAAAAAAAAUUAAAAAUAUAACAGACAUUUAGCUUUCUGUAUGGAGCCUUUCCAAAACAAUGCAUUUGAUCACAAAUACUGUAAAUUCAGAAAUUAUUGCGAAAAAUGUGACAGGGUUAUAAUCGCAAUAAUUUAAACACACAUUUUGAAAUAUGUUAUAUGAAUAACACAGGAUUUUUCUCAAUAUCACAAAAUUUAGUCUUAAAUGACAAAAUCGCAACAAUAAAUGCAUUCAAUUAUUUCUGAAUUUACAAUACAUUUGAAAACGGAAAAAAUAAAAAAUAUUACAGACAUGUAGAAUUCUGUAUGGAACAUUUCCAAAACGAUGCACAUGAUCAUAAAUAUUUCACAUCAGAAGAUCUACACUUAAGUUUACCUAGACUACCAUUAAUUUACUGUUGUAAAAUGGUGCAACUAAGAUGUAGAUUUUUGUAUUCAAGUUCAUCAUUAAUUAAGCUGCAAAACUAUCUGAGGCCAAGAAUUUUUCAUGUUUUAAAGCAGACCUUAAACCUAUUUUGACGUUAAUCAUUUAGCCAUACAUGAAUAAUAACAUUGGAACAUUAAGAAGCUGUGAAAUUUUAUAUGCAUAAUAAUUUUCACACACUUAAUCAAACUUAAGAUGUUUUUGAGGUAAUUUAAAUGAUGCCAAUACUAUAUGAAUUUGUAAUUUUUACCUGUUUGGAAAAUUGUAUAUUUCUUAACAAUUUUUUAUUUCAUUUGUUCAUAUAUGUGUGUUUUUUUAAUAUUUUGUAAUUGUUUGUUAUGUUUCAUUGUAUUUUAUGAGGGCCUCAGAUAAGAUUAGUUUUAUAGCUAACAGUGAAACCCAUUUUAAAUAAAGAAUUAUAAUUAUUAUUAUUAUUUUAAAUCUGUCAGGUACUGUAUGCAAUAUUUUAAUCAGUUUCGAUACAGCUUUAUCUCACUUCCAGUGGCCAACUUUUUUUCACAUUAAUCUCACUUGUAUUAAAGAAUUUAAAAAUUCAAAUUACUUCACUGGAUGAAAAUCUAUUUCAAGGAUUAACUGCUCUUUCAGACUCUUUUAUCAUCUAUUAAUUAAUAAGACUGCUACUCUAGAGUUGUAAAUGUUCUGAGGGUGUAUGUGUGCAAACAGAAAGCAAAUUACUACACUAGAUGAAAAUCCAUUUCGAGGUUUGACAGCUCUUUCAAGAUUUUUAUUAAUGCAAUCCUCUUUGAAUUUAUGUAUUUGGGAACAUGUCCUACAAUAAAAUUAUCUCACUUGACGAAAAUCUCUUUAAAGAUUUGAAUGCUCUUACAGACUUUUUUAUUUUUCUUUUGACGGCUCUUUCAGACUUUUUUAAUUAUUAUAGUAGUCCUCUUUAAUUUGUAUUUAUGUAUUUGGGAACUUGUCGAAAAAGUAAAAUUAUUUCACUUGAUGAAAACCUCUUCAAAGGAUUGACUGCUCUUUCAGACCUUUUUAAUUAUUUAUUAGUAAGACAGCUAUGCAAAUAUAUUUCGAGGUUUGACAGCUCUUACAAACAUUUUUAUUUGUGCAAUCGUCUUUGUAUUUAUGUAUCUGGGAACUAGUUCUUAAGUAAAAUUAUUUCACUUGACGAAAACCUCUUCAAAGGUUUGAAUGCUCUUAGACGUUUUUAUCAUCUAUUAAUUAAUAAUUAAUUAAUUAUUUUUAUUUUGCUAUUCAAGAAUUUUAAAUGUAUUUGAGGACUUGUACAGCAAUCAAAUUACAACACUGGAUGAAAAUCUAUUUCGAGGAUUAACGGCUCUUACAAACAAAAUUACUUCACUUGAUGAAAAUGUCUUUAAAGGAUUGACUGCUCUUUCAGACUUUUUUAAUUAUUUAUUAGUAAGACUGCUAUUCAAGAGUUUCAAAUUUUCUGAGGGUGUAUGUGUGCAAACAGAAAUCAAUUAUUACAUUAGAUGCAAAUAUAUUUCGAGGUUUGACAACUCUUACAAACAUUUUUAUUAGUGCAAUCGUCUUUGUAUUUAUGUAUCUGGGAACUUGUUCUUAAAAUGAUCUUAGACAUUUUUAAUUUUUAUUUUGACAGCUAUUUAAGAAUUUUAAAUGUAUCUGAGGACUUGUACAGCAAUCAAAUUACAACACUGGAUGAAAAUCUAUUUCGAGGAUUAACGGCUCUAACAAACAAAAUUACUUCACUUGACGAGAAUGUUUUUAAAGGAUUGACUGCUCUUUCAGACUUUUUUAAUUAUUUAUUACAUGUAUUAGUAAGACAGCUAUUCAAGAGUUUCAAAUUUUCUGUGGGUGUAUGUGUGCAAACAGAAAUCAAAUAAUUACAUUAGAUGCAAAUCUAUUUCGAGGUUUAACUGCUCUUAAAAACCUUUUUAUUAGUGCACUCUCAUUGUAUUUCAUGAACUUGUUCUACAUAAAAUUAUUUCACUUGACGAAAACCUCUUUAAAGGUUUGAAUGCUCUUAAGACAUUUUUAAUUUUUAUUUUGACUGCUAUUCAAGAAUUUUAAAUGUAUCUGAGGAAUUGUACAGCAAACAAAUUACAACACUGGAUGAAAAUGUAUUUCGAGAUUUGACGGCUCUAACAAAUAAAAUUACUUCACUUGACGAAAAUGUCUUUAAAGGAUUGACUGCUCUUUCAGACUUUUUUAAAUAUUUAUUACAUGUAUUAGUAAGACUGCUAUUCAAGAGUUUCAAAUUUUCUGAGGGUGUAUGUGUGCAAACAGAAAUCAAAUUAUUACAUUAGAUGCAAAUCUAUUUCAAGGUUUGACAGCUCUUACAAACAUUUUUAUUAGUGCACUCUCAUUGUUUUUAUGUAUUCAGAAACUUGUCGUAAAAUUACUUCACUUGACAUAAAUCUCUUUAAAGAUUGGCUGCUCUUAAAGACUAUUACAUUUCCUUUUGACUGCAAUUUAAGGAUUUUAAAUGAACUUGAGGACCUGCACAACAAUCAAAUAACCAACGCUAGAUGCAAAUAUAUUUCAAGGUUUGAAGAAUCUUGGAAAAGAGAAUGGAAACUUGUCCAGAAAUCAAUGACAAUGCUAGAUAGAUGACAACGCCUUUAACGGAUUGACGGCUCUUACACACUUUUUGUAGGAACAUGCCUAGAAAUCAAAUGACAAUGCUAGAUUGAUGUCAACUCAUUUAAAGGAUUGACGGCUCUUACACACUUUUUGUAGGCACUUGCCCAGAAAUCAAAUGACAAUGCUAGAUUGAUGCUAACUCAUUUGACGGAUUGACGGCACUUAAACACUUUUGGUAGGCUUUUGUCUAGAAAUCAAAUUAUUGGACUUGAUUCAGACUUGAUCAACAAUCAAAUUACAACAAUAGAUGCAAAUCCAUUUCAAGGUUUGAGGGAUGUUUGAGAAUGGAAAUGGGGAAUAAAGACAGUAAUGCAACCAAAGAGCAGAAAACAGCUCUAGGCCAAUAUUGGUUGUUCAAGAUAGGGAGAAAGUAGACAUACUUUUUAAUUAUAUAUUUGACUGCUAGUAAACAUUUUUUUAAAUUUCUGUGUGUAUGUUUGUGCUUUGGUUUUUUUUUUAAUGCAUAUAAAUAAUUUAUGAAUUAUACAGGAAUAAAUAUUACUUUUGGGGCCAACACAAUAAGUUAUUAGUGUAUGCAAUUUGUAAGUCAGUUUUCACAUAGCUCUUUCUCAAUUCACAUAUACAACUCUUUUCAAGAAGAAUCACUCUCUAUGUAUGUAUUUGAGAACUGGUACCAUUAUCAAUUCCUUACGUUUGAUGUGAAUUCAUUUCUAGGUUAAAAGGCUUUAACAAAUUGAUUCAUUUUUCAUUUCACUACUUUUCACCAGUUUCAAAUUAUCUAAGUAUAUAUUCUUUAAAUGCUAUUUUCUGUGUAUUUAAAAAUCAAAUAACUGAACAGGGUGAGAGAAAAAAAAUCAGUGCCAACUCAAUUAUUCAUCUGCCUGUGUAUAUAUGCAAUAUUUAAUUCAGUUUUCAAAAAACUCUUUCUCAAUUCCAGCAAACAACUUUUUGCAACUUAAAUCUCACUGUGUAUGCAUGCUUAAUUUCAAGUUUUGAAGUCUUUACAUACAUUUUUUUUUCUCUCAUUAGACUAGCAAUUCAAGUUCUUAAAAUUUUCUGUGGCUGAUUGUGCAUGUGGGUUUUAGGCUUCUUUCUGUUCUCAUAAAUAAUUCAUAAACUGACCAGAAAAAUGAAAAAAUUAUUUAUCUGUUGGUAUGUACAUGAUGUACGCAAUGUUUCAAUCAGUUUUCGUUCACCAAUUAAAAAAUUUCCAUGCUAGAUGAGAAUUCAUUUCAAGGUUUGAGGACUCUUACAUACUUUUUUUAGUAUAUAGUCAGUCCACUGCUAUUCUGCAGUUUCAAAUUUUCUGUGUAUAUAGGGACUUAUCCAAAUAACAAAUGACAAUGCUAGAUAGAUGACAACGCCUUUAAAGGAUUAACAGCUCUUACACACUUUUUGUAGGAAAUUGACCAGAAAUCAAAUGACAAUGCUAGAUAGAUGACAUCUCCUUCAAAGGAUUGACGGAUCUAACACACUUUUUGUAGGCACUUUCCCAGAAAUCAAAUGACAAUGCUAGAUUGAUGUCAACUCAUUUAACAGAUUGACAGCUCUUACACACUUUUUGUUGGCCCUUGCCCAGAAAUCAAAUGACAAUGCUAGAUAGAUGACAUCUCCUUCAAAGGAUUGACGGAUCUAACACACUUUUUGUAGGCACUUGCCCAGAAAUCAAAUGACAAUGCUAGAUAGAUGACAUCUCCUUCAAAGGAUUGACGGAUCUAACACACAUUUUGUAGGCACUUUCCCAGAAAUCAAAUGACAAUGCUAGAUUGAUGUCAACUCAUUUCAAGGAUUGACUGCUCUUACACACUUUUUGUAGGCACUUGCCCAGAAAUCAAAUGACAAUAUUAGAUUGAUGACAACUCAUUUAACGGAUUGACGGCUCUCGCACACUUUUUGUAGGCACUUGCCCAGAAAUCAAAUGACAAUGCUAGAUUGAUGUCAACUCAUUUAAAGGAUUGACGGCUCUUACACACUUUUUGUAGGCUCUUGCCCAGAAAUCGAAUGACAAUGCUAGAUUGAUGUCAACUCAUUUAAAGGAUUGACGGCUCUUACACACUUUUUGUAGGCACUUGCCCAGAAAUCAAAUGACAAUGCUAGAUUGAUGUCAACUCAUUUAAAGGAUUGACGGCUCUUACACACUUUUUGUAGGCACUUGCCCAGAAAUCAAAUAACAAUGCUAGAUAGAUGACAACGCCUUUAACGGAUUGACAGCUCUUACACACUUUUUGUAGGCACUUGCCCAGAAAUCAAAUGACAAUGCUAGAUAGAUGACAACGCCUUUAACGGAUUGACGGCUCUCACACACUUUUUGUAGGCACUUGCCCAGAAAUCAAAUGACAAUGCUAGAUUGAUGUCAACUCAUUUAAAGGAUUGACAGCUCUUACACACUUUUUGUAGGCACUUGCUCAGAAAUCAAAUGACAAUACUAGAUAGAUGUCAACUCAUUUAACGGAUUGACGGCUCUCACACACUUUUUGUAGGCACUUGCCCAGAAAUCAAAUGACAAUGCUAGAUUGAUGUCAACUCAUUUAAAGGAUUGACGGCUCUUACACAUUUUUUGUAGGCACUUGCCCAGAAAUCAAAUGACAAUGCUAGAUUGAUGUCAACUCAUUUAAAGGAUUGACGGCUCUUACACACUUUUUGUAGGCACUUGCCCAGAAAUCAAAUGACAAUGCUAGAUAGAUGACAACGCCUUUAAUGGAUUGACGGCUCUUACACACUUUUUGUAGGCACUUGCCGAGAAAUCAAAUGACAAUGCUAGAUAGAUGACAACGCCUUUAACGGUUUGACAGCUCUUACACACUUUUUGUAGGCACUUGCCCAGAAAUCAAAUGACAAUGCUAGAUAGAAGACAACGCCUUUAACGGAUUGACGGCUCUCACACACUUUUUGUGAGCACUUGCCCAGAAAUCAAAUGACAAUGCUAGAUUGAUGUCAACUCAUUUAAAGGAUUGACAGCUCUUACACACUUUUUGUAGGAACUUGCCCAGAAAUCAAAUGACAAUGCUAGAUAGAUGUCAACUCAUUUAAAGGAUUGACGGCUCUCACACACUUUUUGUAGGCACUUGCCCAGAAAUCAAAUGACAAUGCUAGAUUGAUGACAACGCCUUUAACGGAUUAACGGCUCUUACACACUUUUUGUAGGCACUUGCCCAGAAAUCAAAUGACAAUGCUAGAUAGAUGACAACGCCUUUAACGGUUUGACGGCUCUCACACACUUUUUGUAGACACUUGCCCAGAAAUCAAAUGACAGUGCUAGAUUGAUGUCAACUCAUUUCAAGGAUUGACAGCUCUUACACACUUUUUGUAGGCACUUGCCCAGAAAUCAAAUGACAAUGCUAGAUAGAAGACAACGCCUUUAACGGAUUGACGGUUCUCACACACUUUUUGUAGCCACUUGCCCAGAAAUCAAAUGACAAUGCUAGAUUGAUGUCAACUCAUUUAAAGGAUUGACGGCUCUUACACACUUUUUGUAGGAACUUGCCUAGAAAUCAAAUGACAAUGCUAGAUUGAUGUCAACUCAUUUAAAGGAUUGACGGCUCUUACACACUUUUUGUAGGAACUUGCCUAGAAAUCAAAUGACAAUGCUAGAUAGAUGACAACGCCUUUAACGGAUUGACGGCUCUCACACACUUUUUGUAGCCACUUGCCCAGAAAUCAAAUGACAAUGCUAGAUUGAUGUCAACUCAUUUAAAGGAUUGACGGCUCUUACACACUUUUUGUAGGCACUUGCCCAGAAAUCAAAUGACAAUGCUAGAUAGAUGACAACGCCUUUAACGGAUUGACGGCACUUACCCACUUUUUGUAGGAACUUGCUUGCCUAUAAAUCAAAUGACAAUACCAGAUAGAUGCAAAUUCUUUUGAAGGAUAGACGGCUCUUACAAACCUUGUUUAGGCACUUGCCCAGAAAUCAAAUGACAAUGCUAGAUAGAUGCAAAUUCCUUUGAAGGAUUGACGGCUCUUACAUAGUUUGGCAACUCUUUUAUUAUUUUCUUAUCAAUUAUUCAUUUUAAAAUUUUUUUUCAAAAAGUUUUUACUUUGAAUUCUCUUUAUCUAUAUAUUCAGGCACUUGUGUAUUAACCAAAUUAAAUUGCUAGAUAGGAUUCAAUUCAAGGCUUGAGGGUUUUUACAUUUUAUUAUUUUGAUCAUUAUUCCUUUGAAUGCUAUUUAUUAGUUUAAAAUUUUCUCUGUGUGUGUAUGUGUAAGUGCUUCAGAUUUGUUUCUGUGCAUGUUUAUAAUUAAUUAAAUGAACUUGAAUAACAAAACAAAAAAUGUAUCCAUUUCCAUAUUUUACUAAUAUUUUAAUCAACUCUUACUCACUUCCAGACAUAAACCUUGUUUUUAAUCUUUCACAAUAUUGCUAAAAUCUCGAUAAUUUGAAAAACACAUGGCUUUAGCUAAGUACUGAGAAAAAAAAGUUAUAAAAAACGUAUAACAGCAAAUGGCACAAAUGUAUAAGCUCAUUAACCAGAACAGGGAAUGCAACUGCACAAGUAAUUAAUUUUCUUUAAUUCAAAAAUUAUAAAUUAGCAAUCCAAGAUAUGUUGACAAAAAUUUGUAAAUUUUUUUAUAUUUUUUUUUUGGGGGGGGGCAGGGGGUUUAAGGGAAAAAAAGCAGUUAUCUAUAAAUCAGGUAACAACAAGAGGAAAUGGAUGCAGUUUGGUUUAAAUGAUCUUACUAACUUUAAUCAAAUUUAAAGUGUGUGAGUUUUAAGAACAAGUUUUCUUUAGAAGGUCCUUUUUAUGGGGGAAAAAAAACAUAAGACUAUAAGACUUUCAACAUGCAUAAAAAAACUUAUAUUCACAUCCUGCAUAACCCAAACUAUAAAAAUAAUUUCUGAGCAACAUUAAAAGUGCAUUUAUAUAUCUCAUAGAGACAAAUACAAAGCACUACAAAAACUUAAUAACAAAUAAGCACUUGUGAUUAUAAUUGGAUGGCAUUAUCUGAUACAUGUGUACCCUACUUUUGGUACUUAGUCAGAUCUGCAAUAAAAGCACAUGGCAUGAUUUGGUUUCCUGACUGGUUACCUGUCAGAUCUAUAGCACUGGUAUUAUGGUUGAAUGGAUGAUUUCAGUACCCUGUGUGGUUAUUAGUGAGAUCAGGCGGCAGUUAGGCAGUUAUAUUACAAGCAGAUCUUCCAUUGACCUUUGGCGAGAAAAUUCCUCAUUACAUGUUUUUGUGUCUAGGUAUUUUGUAAUAGAAUCGUCCAUAUCUUCUUUUUUUAAAUUUGUAUGGAAGGAUGGUAUCUUGUCCAUUCUAGGUGGUCCUUCAGCUACUUUUCUUAUUCUAUUUUCUGCCAGCCUGGAAAAA
rnacentral:lncRNA from 1 species